rnacentral:rRNA from 1 species
GACGAACGCUGGCGGCGUGCUUAACACAUGCAAGUCGAACGGAAAGGCCCUGCUUUUGUGGGGUGCUCGAGUGGCGAACGGGUGAGUAACACGUGAGUAACCUGCCCUUGACUUUGGGAUAACUCUAGGAAACUGGGGCUAAUACCGGAUAGGAGCUCCUGCUGCAUGGUGGGGGUUGGAAAGUUUCGGCGGUUGGGGAUGGACUCGCGGCUUAUCAGCUUGUUGGUGGGGUAGUGGAUUACCAAGGCUAUGACGGGUAGCCGGCCUGAGAGGGUGACCGGCCACAUUGGGACUGAGAUACGGCGCAGUCUCCUACGGGAGGCAGCGGGGGAGAAUAUUACACAAUGGGCGGGAGCCUGAUGCAGCAACGCCGCGUGCGGGAUGACGGCCUUCGGGUUGUAAACCGCUUUCGCCUGUGACGAAGCGUGAGUGACGGUAAUGGGUAAAGAAGCACCGGCUAACUACGUG